rnacentral:rRNA from 1 species
GCGCUUGCAACCAGACUUGAGCGCGGCGGUUCCCCCUUCCUUUUGGUUGGGUUACUCCGUCGUGUCCAGGCCAACAUCGGUUCUAGGGGUCGGUUAAAGGCUUAGGGAAUGUACCUACUCCUUCGGGGGUAGACUUAUAGCCCUAGGUGUCAUGCGACCUCCCGGGACCGAGGAACGCGCUUCGGCUCGGAUGUUGGCGUAAUGGUUGUAAGCGACCCGUCUUGAAACACGGACCAAGGAGUC